UCUUCCCUUAUUGACAAUUCCCUGCGUGUUAUUUUGCACUUGAAUUAUUUAGUAAAAUUCCAUUUCUCAACUGUUUGUGUACUGGAACAGCUACCAAUUCCUUAAAACAGCACUAACUUACUGAAAUAUUUAAUAUGUAAACUUUAAUAAUUUAGAGUGGUAAUCUUUAAUAUGUAUUGUGUAUUGGUCAUGGGCUAAUGAUAUGUAAUCUUUAAUUAACAGUUGAGAUAUAGUUUUACACAUUUAACAAAGAAGUUGAAGUGUGUGUUUAAUAUUGUGUAUUGGUUAAAAUAUUAAAUAUGUAAUCUUUAAUAUGUAAUAAUAUGACAGGAGGAGAACUAUUUUGGCAUGUAGAAAACUAAGUCAAUAAUUAUUUCUAACAUGUUAAACUAUUGGUUGAACUGUUUUUGAUGACAUAUAUGACAAAUCAGUUAUCAAUUAUUCCAAUCAAACACAUUUAACAAUAAUAUAGUAAAGGUUCCUUAACUUAAAACCUGUUUCAUCGAGAAAAGCCAUGAUCCAGAGGAUCUUCCUCUAACCAUGAUAGUUCUUCUAAUCUUACUACUGAUCCAUCUGAUUCUUUUGUAUGUCAGAAAGGAUUUCUUGGGCUUUGUGGUGUAAGAACGGAUGCAAUUGACUACUAUAGUGAAAGCAUCUAGGAAAUUGACAAAUACUUAGUAGCAGAGCGUCAGAGAAUUCUCAAAGAAACAAAAGCUAUCAUGCCUGUAGCAUUUGUUUCAUUUGACUCGAGAUGGGCUGGCUGCUAUUUGUGCUCAAACUCAGCAAAGUAGGAACCCGACACGCUGGUUAACUUACUGGGCACCAGAGCCACGCGAUGUUUACUGGAAGAAUCUAGCUAUACCAUUUGUUUCUCUCAUCAUCAGAAAACUGCUUAUAUCAUUAUCUGUGUUUGCUCUGGUAUUCUUUUACAUGAUACCUAUUGCUGACGUGCAGUCACUGGAAAAUCUCGAUAGUCUGGAAAAAAAGGCUACUUUCCUCAGGCCUGUGAUAGAGCUAUGCAAUUGCUUCCAAGCGAGAAAACCUGCAAAGGGAGAUGGAACGGCGGAUAGUAACACAACAUAUGACUUGCAUGGAUGUAUAACAUCACACUCAGUCUUCUGAUGAUUCCCAAAAACAUCUGAGAAGAAGCUUGGUUAUGUUCUUGUUAUCGGAGCAACAAACAAACAAAAUGCAAUUGACCAACCUUUAAGGAGAGCUGGACGGUUUGAUCGUGAUAAGUCUUUGGGUUAACCUGAUGAAAAAACCACUGCUAGAGAUCCUGUCAGUUAUUACUCAAAAAUGUAAAUGUGUGUUUUGGAGAGAGUGGAGUCAAUGAGAUAUAGUUUUAUAUAAUAAUUAUGUCCUUUUGAACUUUUAAGUGUUUCAUAAAAUUACAAGCUGAGUAUUGCAUGAUUGCAAGGUUAGGUGAUCAAUGAAUUCCUAUCGUUCAAUUGCA